GACGGAGGAUGCAAGUGUUAUCCGGAAUCACUGGGCGUAAAGCGUCUGUAGGUGGUUUAAAAAGUCUACUGUUAAAGCUUGAAGCUUAACUUCAAAAAUGCCGUAGAAACUUUUAAACCUGAGUAUGGUAGGGGUAGAGGGAAUUUCCAGUGGAGCGGUGAAAUGCGUAGAUCUUGGAAAGACCACCAAUGGCGAAGGCACUCUACUGGGCCAUUACUGACACUAAGAGACGAAAGCUAGGGGAGCAAAUGGG
rnacentral:rRNA from 1 species